UACGAAGGGGGCUAGCGUUGCUCGGAAUCACUGGGCGUAAAGGGUGCGUAGGCGGGUCUUUAAGUCAGGGGUGAAAUCCCGGGGCUCAACCCCGGAACUGCCUUUGAUACUGGUAGUCUCGAGUCCGGAAGAGGUGAGUGGAAUUCCGAGUGUAGAGGUGAAAUUCGUAGAUAUUCGGAGGAACACCAGUGGCGAAGGCGGCUCACUGGUCCGGUACUGACGCUGAGGUGCGAAAGCUAGGGGAGCGAACAGG
rnacentral:rRNA from 1 species